rnacentral:rRNA from 1 species
AUGUCGGACUCGGAAACGGAGGAGAAGAAGAGCAAGUCACCGUCAUCCAAGGCGCCGCUCGCGCGCCUCACCGGCAGCGGCAGCGGCGAGGUCCGCGUGGUGGAGCGCGUCGUGCGCGAGGAGACGGGGAUGUCGAUGAUGCUGACGCGCACCAACUACCAGGAAUGGGCGCUGGUGAUGCAGGUAAAGCUGCAGGUCGCCCGCGUCUGGCCUGCGGUGACCGGCGACGCCGCCGACGAGAAUGAUGAUCGGCGCGCGCUGCAGAUCCUUCUUACCGGCGUCCCGCCGGAGAUGCUGCGCGUGCUGGCCGCCAAGGACACAGCGAAGAAGGCAUGGGAGACAAUCAAGACCAUGCGCAUGGGCAGCGAGCGCGCCCGCGAGGCCAAGGCGCAGGUGCGCCGGCGGGAGUUCGAAGAUCUCAGGUUCAAGGACGGCGAGUCCGUCGAGGACUUCGGGCUGCGGCUUUCGGCCCUUGUCGCCGAUCUGGAGCUGUACGGCGACACGGUCUCCGAACACAAGGCGGUGCAGAAAUUUCUUCGCGUGGUGCCGCGGAGGUAUCGCCCGAUGGCCAUGGCGAUCGAGUCCCUGAUCGAUCUGAAAACCAUGACCAUCGAGGAGCUCGUCGGCCGCCUCUCCGCCUGCGAGGACCACUACGACCUCGACGAUGGAGCGCAGAACGCCGGGCGUCUCUUGCUCACUCAUGAGGAGUGGCUGGCCCGUGAGAAGGCGGGCGGCGGCGGAGGCUCGUCGUCAAGCGGUGGCGGCGGCAACACCAGCAAGAGCAAGGCGACCGGCAAGGCCAAGGCCCAAGGCGCUGGCAAGAGCACACCGGCAACGCCGGGUCAGGCGGCUUUGGCGGAUCCGGCGGCAAGAAAAAGAAAGGAAAGUGCCACCAUUGUGGCAUCCCAGGGCACUGGAAGAAGGAGUGCAGGACCUGGCUGCGGGAGCAGGAACAAGCGGGCAAGCGAGAACAGGCCAACUUAG